AUAAGAUACCUACUGAGUGCACCAUAUGACAGGGUCUGUCUUAGGCACCAAGGAUAAUACAUCACAGAGCAAGCUGCAGGACUGAUUGCUUUCAUUAACCCAAGUGAGAGACAGAAGCAGGAAGGACAGCUGUGGGAAGCACAUUAAGGUUAGAAAUGGCCAGGAGUUACGUUGUUACAUUGGAGGCUGUAAGAAAUGGCCAGGCGUUACAUUGUUACAUUACAUGCUGUAAGAAAUGGCCAGGUGUUACAUUGUUACAUUGGAGGCUGUAAGAAAUGGCCAGGUGUUACAUUGUUACAUUGGAGGCUGUAAGAAAUGGCCAGGUGUUAUGUUGUUGCAUUGGACUUGGGUGCUGUAGGCUGAGGAAGCACUAAAGGCAGUGGGUGUGGUGCGGGACAGAGGACUGGAACUGACUUCUGAGAUGCAGGGGCUCCUUGGUCUUUAGCAUUUAGAUGCAGUUGGCAUUCCCAUCUCCGGUAAUCUUCAGAUGCCGAUUUUCUCAGGCUCCUUUUUCCCUUGUGGUAGGGAGAACUUGGUCUUCUUUGGUCUUUUUGUCUUUCACUCUAAAUUCUUGUGUUCUUCUCCUCAUCUUUGGUUUUUAUCCUCUUGUCUAUAGUCAUCUUGUGAUUUUUGGUACAAACCCACAUGAAAAUCAAGAAGCCUGUCUCCAAGACAACCAUUGGCAGGUCAGGAAAGAACUGGGAAUGCAGGGGAGCAAGCUCAGGCUUAGGCACGGAGGCGCUAACGCUGCCCUUCCAUCAAAUCCUUGUAAAAUUGUUUGUCAAACUUCAUUAAAAGAGCCUUUACUGGGAAAGCAGGUAUAUACCAGGAAGCAAGUGUCAUUAUUUAAACCUUCCCCUGUUUGUUCCUCUUUUCCAGUUUCAAUGGAUGCCUAUUAAAUGUGUAUAUAUCUAACUUUCAAAUUUCAAAUGGCAUUUUAAAGACAGAUUUACUGUUCAGAUUGAAUUUUAUUGUAUUGUAAUUAUGGGUUU